AACGAACGCUGGCGGCAGGCUUAACUCAUGCAAGUCGAACGCCCCGCAAGGGGAGUGGCAGACGGGUGAGUAACGCGUGGGAAUCUACCCAUCUCUACGGAAUAACUCAGGGAAACUUGUGCUAAUACCGUAUACGCCCUUCGGGGGAAAGAUUUAUCGGAGAUGGAUGAGCCCGCGUUGGAUUAGCUAGUUGGUGGGGU
rnacentral:rRNA from 1 species